AGAUUGAACGCUGGCGGCAUGCCUAACACAUGCAAGUCGAACGGGAGUAGCAAUACUCUAGUGGCGGACGGGUGAGGAAUACGUAGGAAUUUGCCCUUAAGUGGGGGAUAACCCGGGGAAACCCGGAUUAAUACCGCAUGACCUCGAAAGAGCAAAGUGGGGGAUCGCAAGACCUCACGCUUUUGGAGAAGCCUACGUCGGAUUAGCUAGUUGGUGAGGUAAUGGCUCACCAAGGCGACGAUCCGUAACUGGUCUGAGAGGAUGAUCAGUCACACCGGAACUGAGACACGGUCCGGACUCCUACGGGAGGCAGCAGUGGGGAAUAUUGGACAAUGGGCGCAAGCCUGAUCCAGCAAUGCCGCGUGUGUGAAGAAGGCCUUCGGGUUGUAAAGCACUUUAAGUUAGGGAAGAAAAA
rnacentral:rRNA from 1 species